rnacentral:sRNA from 1 species
AAUAACAGAAAAUAAACAAUACUGUUCUAACACAGAAAUGAGCGAUUGGUUAUUCACAAUCACAAGGACAAUGCUUUAGUACAUAAACGAGAGGUUGGUUAGGCACAAAUGUUAACUAAAACCCAAGUUCUUCCAUUCCAGAAAUGACAAAUCAUUCCUAUUUAUAAUGCUUUGUUUUCAAUGAAAAUGACAUUAGCCAAAAGUGUUUUGGCAAGAAUUAGUUGUUGGAAUACAAUAUAUCUUUACAACGCACAACUGCAUGAGCUUUGAAGGACCCCGGCCGGUUUAUGAUGAGAGUGAACUAUUUGAAAAGUGGACCACAUAAUUGUAGAAAAAUAAUGGGUAAUAUAGUGUGAUGCAAAUUGGUGUGAAGUUUUUUGAGUUAUUUUUUCUUUCUUUUUCUGAAAUGUAAUCAUUCGUGUGAAUGAGAGAUUUCUUGUAUUUUGUUCAAUAUAUUAA